UGGUUGUCCGUCCUACCUCUCCGGUGGCCCGUUUCGAUUUCAUGUAGGGUGAUGCCGCAUACCUUCAGCUGCUCGCAAGUUCUCAAAUGUAAGUUCUCCUGUGAGGUAAACUUGAGGGCUGGAAUGGGGAGAAGCGGGAGGAGGUCUGGCAUGACAGCAUGUAGAUGGGUGACACAUUUUGGUGCAAAUCGGACUUAUGGACAAAUUUAACUACAGCAACCGGCAAAUGAUGCAGCAUGAGGGUGAUUGUCUUCUUAGCGUAAGUAUUUUAUCAUAUCUCUAUCAAUGAUCUCCUCACAUACAAAUCAUACAGUAUACUGUUCUAUACUUUUUCCUACAGAAGUCAGACUAUUUGUUCUUCUUGGCAUAUACAUUUUGACUACAUGAACUGAGUUUCUGAUACAGUUGCCAUUUAGGUUGAACAAUUCAUACUUUGUUGCUCAAUUUGGGCUUGAUAUUAUGUAGGUCUUAAAUUAUUUCUUAGUAUGUAUGUUUUUGCUUGAAUAUUUAUCUGCGUUGUACAUUGCUUUUGAAGGCAAACUGAUGAUAUGUUGUUAAUUAUUAAAGCACCCAAAGUUCUAAUGUACCACGAGAUUUUGCAAGUUAGUAAUAUUGCAUUUCUAUGACAUUUUAACAAACAAAUUUUCAUCUGUAUAUUGGAUCUAUCUUGCUAUAAAUUGUUGUUAUUUCUUAACACAAUCUGUUCAGAUCUGAGGAAGAGAAGGAAGGCCCCAAGGUGAGUGAUUUUUCAUCUCUUACUGCUCUAUUAAUAAGAGACUUGCACGUCACGAAAAGAACAAGAAAAUAUGGGUUUUAUGAUGCAUGGUUAGGAAUAUUUUGAGUUAGUUUAUGUUCACGAAAAGAACACUAAAAGAGACGAACUAAUUUGAGUUAGUUUAUGUACAUUUUGCAGGCUGAUAUUUUUUGUCAGUAUGUAACUCCUGAAAUUGAUUUGGGAUGUGUUUGGUUUUAGUUAAUUUAUAGAGAAUCAAAAAGGAAGAAGGCACAGGAAUAAGAGAACAAGGCGACUCUGGGUCGGCUCUCGUGGUGGCGCUGGGUGAAGGAGAUAAUGGGGCUGUUGUUGGGUGGAGGAGGGGGCUUGGGGUGUUGCCUAGAGCGCAGAUGAUGGGUUGCAGUAGUGCAAGCCAUGCCUUGUAAUAAUGAGCAAUCACCGUGUAGUCAAUUUUAC